rnacentral:rRNA from 1 species
UACAGAGGGUGCGGACGUUGUCCGGAAUUAUUGGGCGUAAAGAGCUCGUAGGCGGUUUGUCGCGUCGGCCGUGAAAACUUGGGGCUUAACCCCAAGCCUGCGGUCGAUACGGGCAGACUUGAGUUCGGCAGGGGAGACUGGAAUUCCUGGUGUAGCGGUGAAAUGCGCAGAUAUCAGGAGGAACACCGGUGGCGAAGGCGGGUCUCUGGGCCGAUACUGACGCUGAGGAGCGAAAGCGUGGGGAGCGAACAGG